rnacentral:rRNA from 1 species
GCCUAACACAUGCAAGUCGAACGAAGAUUGUAGUAAUACGGUCNUUAGUGGCGAACGGGUGAGUAACCGCGUGGGUGACCUGCCCCGAAGUGUGGGAUACCANGUCCGAAAGGACUGCUAAUACUGCAUAACAUCCAGGAGAUUAGAACCUGCUGGAUUAAAGGAUUUUUUCGCUUCGGGAGGGGCCUGCGUCCCAUCAGCUUGUUGGUAGGGUAACGGCCUACCAAGGCGACGAUCGAUAGCUGGUCUGAGAGGAUGAUCAGCCACACUGGGACUGAGACACGGCCCAGACUCCUACGGGAGGCAGCAGCAAGGAAUUUUGUGCAAUGGGCGAAAGCCUGACACAGCAACGCCACGUGAGGGAUGACGGCCUUCGGGUUGUAAACCUCUUUUAUCAGGGAAGAAUAAUGACGGUACCUGAUGAAUAAGCUUCGGCUAACUACGUGCCAGCAGCCGCGGUAAUAC